rnacentral:rRNA from 1 species
UACGGAGGGUGCAAGCAUUAAUCGGAAUCAUUGGGCGUAAAGAGCGCGUAGGCGACUUAGGAAGUCUUUGAUGAAAUACUACUGCUUAACAGUAGUGCUGUUGGAGAUACUCUUAGGAUAGAGGCUGGGUGGAGAAAACGGAAUUUCACGUGUAGCGGUGAAAUGUGUAGAUAUGUGAAAGAACACCGGUGGCGAAAGCGGUUUUCUAAUUUAGACCUGACGCUGAGGCGCGAGAGCUAGGGGAGCAAACAGGAUUAGAUACCCCCGUA